UACGGAGGGUGCAAGCGUUUAUCCGGAUUCACUGGGUUUAAAGGGUGCGUAGGAGGGCAGGUAAGUCAGUGGUGAAAUCUCCAAGCUUAACUUGGAAACUGCCGUUGAUACUAUCUGUCUUGAAUGUUGUGGAGGUGAGCGGAAUAUGUCAUGUAGCGGUGAAAUGCUUAGAUAUGACAUAGAACACCAAUUGCGAAGGCAGCUCACUACACAAUUAUUGACUCUGAGGCACGAAAGCGUGGGGAUCAAACAGGA
rnacentral:rRNA from 1 species